ACCUAUAUGAAUAUAAUAAAUUUAAAUAAAUAAAUAAGAUUCCAAAAUCAAAAUUAUAAUGUCCGAUACAUCCGAUAAAAGUCCAACAAAACUUAAUUUAAUCUAUACAUCAUGUGUUUUAAGCAAAUCGGGAACUUCAACGCGGACAGCCUUAAACUUGAACCGAUUAUACCUACACCAAAUUAAAUGAAGAAGUGAACAAAUACUAUAACAAUUACUUUAAUAAACAAAUAAAAUAUAAAAAAAGAGAGAGAGAGAACAGAUCCAGUGGAUCGUUUAUUUUCAACAGAGCAUUUAAUGCUACAUUUAAUUAGAGAUAGGAAUGUUAGCAACUUGCUGCCCACGCCACUUGUCAUCCUUAAUCCUUAAGUAGGCCUAACCAUUUAGGCAUAUCACCUUCUUUCACUCACCCCAUCACCAUCUAUAUUCUCUCUACACACCCAACGUGGAUAGAGGAUAGAGGAGUCGAGGAAGGAGAAUUUCACACAAUCGUAGAGUCAAACACUACAAUCGAACAACCCUUUAUUCCACAUCAAAAAGUUUUCAAAAGGGUAUGUUCGCAAAGUAAAGUCGGAACGAAAGAUUCAAGUUAAGGGAACUAAACGAUCAAGGUUGAGCAGCGAAGUGGUGGAGGAAGUGCUAUUGAGACAAGACAUUUAAUUCAGUCAGA